GGUGAGAUGGUCGAGUGGUCUAAGACGACACGUUAAGGUAUGAUUGAUACCGUGUUCCGCAAGGGCGUGGGUUCAAAUCCCACUCUCAUCA
rnacentral:tRNA from 1 species